GUCUAUUUGGUAUUUAAUAUAAAGUCUAACCUGCCCACUGAUAAUUUUCAUUAAAGGGCCGCAGUAUUUUGACUGUGCAAAGGUAGCAUAAUCAUUAGUCUUUUAAUUGAAGGCUGGUAUGAAUGGUUGGACGAGAUACAUGCUGUGUCAUAAAAAUUAAUAAUUGAAUUUAACUUUUUAGUCAAAAGGCUAAAAUAAAAUUAAAAGACGAGAAGACCCCAUAGAGCUUUAUAUAAUAGAUUAUUAGAUUAUUUAGAUUUAUAAAAUUUAAUGAUUGGGCUAUAUUUUGUUGGGGUGACAAUAAAAUUUAUAAAACUUUUAUUUUUUAUUAACAUUAAUUUAUGAAUAAAUGAUCCAGUUUUAUUGAUUAUAAAAUUAAGUUACCUUGGGGAUAACAGCGUUAUUUUUUUUGAGAGUUCAUAUCGACAAAAAAGAUUGCGACCUCGAUGUUGGAUUAAGAGUAAUUUUGGGUGUAGCAGUUCAAAGUUUAAGUCUGUUCGACUUUUAAAUUCUUACAU
rnacentral:rRNA from 1 species